AUGAUACAAAUGGGCAAAUGGGCAUUUGGAGAUAGGUGCUAUCACCUGGAGCUCGCAUUCAAACUGAUAUUGUACCUGCAAGAGUACAACAUCCAGCUGUCUCGGCUCUCCACACAAACAUCCAUAUCAGGCAAUCAGCAGCGUGAUGAAGAAUCCAUGCAGAUUUUGUAUUUUCAGUUGGGAAUAAAAGAUCAGAUGGGCAUCUCCACCAGGACCUUGCUAGCAGAAAGGCAGAAGAUCAACUUUAAAAUUGCUGAAAGUUCUCGCAUGACAAUCACAAGGGAAAGGCACCAAGGAAUUUCCCCGCACCGCAAACUACCUACACCUGACUUCCAUGGAUGA
rnacentral:rRNA from 1 species